rnacentral:rRNA from 1 species
CAGUCGAACGGACCCUUCGGGGUUAGUGGCGGACGGGUGAGUAACACGUGGGAACGUGCCUUUAGGUUCGGAAUAGCUCCUGGAAACGGGUGGUAAUGCCGAAUGUGCCCUUCGGGGGAAAGAUUUAUCGCCUUUAGAGCGGCCCGCGUCUGAUUAGCUAGUUGGUGAGGUAACGGCUCACCAAGGCGACGAUCAGUAGCUGGUCUGAGAGGAUGACCAGCCACACUGGGACUGAGACACGGCCCAGACUCCUACGGGAGGCAGCAGUGGGGAAUCUUGCGCAAUGGGCGAAAGCCUGACGCAGCCAUGCCGCGUGAAUGAUGAAGGUCUUAGGAUUGUAAAAUUCUUUCACCGGGGACGAUAAUGACGGUACCCGGAGAAGAAGCCCCGGCUAACUUCGUGCCAGC